AUUGAACGCUGGCGGCAUGCCUUACACAUGCAAGUCGAACGGCAGCGCGGGCUUCGGCCUGGCGGCGAGUGGCGAACGGGUGAGUAACAUAUCGGAACGUGCCCUGGAGUGGGGGAUAACUAGUCGAAAGAUUAGCUAAUACCGCAUACGAUCUACGGAGGAAAGUGGGGGACCGCAAGGCCUCAUGCUCGUGGAGCGGCCGAUAUCUGAUUAGCUAGUGGUGGGGUAAAGCCUACCAAGGCCACGAUCAGUAGCUGGUCUGAGAGGACGACCAGCCACACUGGGACUGAGACACGGCCCAGACUCCUACGGGAGGCAGCAGUGGGGAAUUUUGGACAAUGGGCGCAAGCCUGAUCCAGCAAUGCCGCGUGAGUGAAGAAGGCCU
rnacentral:rRNA from 1 species